GAUGAACGCUGGCGGCGUGCCUAAUACAUGCAAGUCGAGCGAACGGACGAGAAGCUUGCUUCUCUGAUGUUAGCGGCGGACGGGUGAGUAACACGUGGAUAACCUACCUAUAAGACUGGGAUAACUUCGGGAAACCGUAGCUAAUACCGGAUAAUCUUUUGAACCGCAUGGUUCAAAAGUGAAAGACGGUCUUGCUGUCACUUAUAGAUGGAUCCGCGCUGCAUUAGCUAGUUGGUAAGGUAACGGCUUACCAAGGCAACGAUGCAUAGCCGACCUGAGAGGGUGAUCGGCCACACUGGAGCUGAGACACGGUCCAGACUCCUACGGGAGGGAGCAGUAGGGAAUCUUCCGCAAUGGGCGAAAGCCUGACGGAGCAGCGCCGCGUGAGUGGUGAAGGUCUUCGGAUCGUAAAACUCUGUUAUUAGGGAAGAACAUAUGUGUAAGUAACUGUGCACAUCUUGACGGUACCUAAUCAGAAAGCCACGGCUAACUACGUG
rnacentral:rRNA from 1 species